ensembl:lincRNA
UGUCUGUUUUUCCAGGGAUUUUUUUCCACCCACCUUUGAACUACCUUGAAACAAUGAAGUGUUCUCUUUUGACAGGCUGGCCUAAUGGGAAGGUUGACCUGAUUUCCACUCUCCUACCGAAAAGUGACAAUGCAGCUGCCGGGCCAAGGAGGGACGUUGUGUGACCAGUUCAGAGGCAGGAGUUCACGCGGCUGCACUGACCCUCUGCAAAAGGAAGCAACUGGACAUUUCCUCUACACAUUGUCUCUUUUGAAAAGUUCCAAGCAGAUGCUCGCCCACCCACCAAGGCUGAGGCCAAAGAAAAUUCUCCGAUGACAAGGCUCUGCAGGUGCCGUACAGAGCGAGUACUUUUCAGGCAGCUGGCGGAGCCCAGAGCAAGCUUCCCCCGGAGCAUCCAAAGGGGCCACUUGGCUGCGGUCGCCAUUGCGAGAACAACAGGAAACUGAGCAGGGGCUGCGCUCGUCCUGGGCAGGACAACUCUCCAUUUCCCUUCAGGCCUGGCAUUGUUUUGCUGAUGGAAGAAAAGUGGAAUGGGGCGUGAUCACACUGCCGGCUCAGCAGCUGGAAAGCUCGUGUUGGCUUAAAUGUGCACAAGGUGAGGUCCCUCUCUGCCACUGAUCCCCACCUCCUCUCACCACAGGGUGUUUUCUGAUCACCACAU